rnacentral:rRNA from 1 species
GAUGAACGCUGGCGGCGUGCCUAACACAUGCAAGUCGAGCGAACAGACCAUGAGCUUGUUCCUCUCACUUGACCGGCGGACGGGCGAGUAACACGAGGAUAACCUCCCUAUUCGACUGGGAUAACGACGAGAAACCGGAGCUAAUACUGGUUAAUAUAUGGCAUCGCUGGGUGCAUUAGUGAAAGACGGAUUUGCUAUCAGUAAUAGAUGGAUCUGCGCCGCAUUAGCUAGUUGGUAAGGCAACGGCCCACCAAGGCAACGAUCCGUAGCCGACCUGAGAGGGUGGUCGGCCACACUGGAUCUGAGCCGCGGUCCAGACUACUACGGGAGGCAACGGUAGAGAGUCUUCCGCUAUGGGCGGAAGGCUGACGGGACACCGCCGCGUGAGUUAUGAGGGUCUUGCGAUCUUGGAACUCUGUUAUUAGGGAAGAGCGAAUGUGUAAGGAACUAUGCACGUCUUGACGGUACCAUAUCAGAAAGCCACGGCUAACUACGUG